GUGGCGGACGGGUGAGUAACGCGUGGGCAACCAACCCUGUACAGUGGGAUAACACCGGGAAACCGGUGCUAAUACCGCAUGACACCUAGACAGUGCAUACUGACUAGGUUAAAGGAUUUAGCCGGUACAGGACGGGCCCGCGUCCCAUUAGCUAGUUGGUGAGGUAACGGCUCACCAAGGCGACGAUGGGUAGCCGACCUGAGAGGGUGACCGGCCACACUGGGACUGAGACACGGCCCAGACUCCUACGGGAGGCAGCAGUGGGGAAUAUUGCGCAAUGGAGGAAACUCUGACGCAGCGACGCCGCGUGAGCGAAGAAGGCCUUCGGGUCGUAGAGCUCUGUUCUUGGGGACGAAUAAGGUGACGGUACCCAAGGAGAAAGCCCCGGCUAACUACGUGCCAGCAGCCGCGGUAAUACGUAGGGGGCGAGCGUUGUCCGGAAUUACUGGGCGUAAAGGGCGUGUAGGCGGCCGAGCAAGUCAAGUGUGAAAAGCCUCG
rnacentral:rRNA from 1 species